rnacentral:piRNA from 1 species
CACUGAGAUAAGGUCCGGGAAGGACGG